rnacentral:rRNA from 1 species
GAUGAACGCUGGCGGCGUGCCUAAUACAUGCAAGUCGAGCGAACAGACGAGGAUCUUGCUCUUCUGACGUUAGCGGCGGACGGGUGAGUCACACGUGGAUAACCUACCUAUAAGACUGGGCUAACUUCGGGAAACCGGAGCUCAUACCGGAUAAUAUAUUGAACCGCAUGGUUCAAUAGUGAAUGACGGUUUUGCUGUCACUUCUCGAUGGAUCCGCGCCGCAUUAGCUAGUUGGUAAGGUAACGGCUUACCAAGGCAACGAUGCGUAGCCGACCUGAGCGGGGGAUCGGCCACACUGGAACUGGGACACGGUCCAGGCUCCUACGGGAGGCAGCAGUAGGGAAGCGUCCGCGAUGGGCGAAAGCCUGACGGAUCAACGGCGCGUGAGUGAUGAAGGUCUUCGGAUCGGAAGACGCUGUUAGUGGUGUAGAACAAAUGUGUAAGUAACUAAGCACGGCGUGACGGUACCUAAUCAGGAAGCCACGGCUAACUACGUG